UAUAUAGGUAACGUGCCUCUUAGUCUGGGAUAGCCAUUGGAAACGAUGAUUAAUACUAGAUACUCCUUCUCAAUCUAAUUUGAGUCGGGAAAGUUUUUCGCUAAGAGAUCGGUCUAUAUCCCAUCAGCUAGUUGGUAGUGUAAGAGACUACCAAGGCAAUGACGGGUAGCGGGUUUGAGAGGAUGAUCCGCCACACUGGUACUGAGACACGGACCAGACUCCUACGGGAGGCAGCAGUGAGGAAUAUUGCACAAUGGAGGAAACUCUGAUGCAGCAACGCCGCGUGGAGGAUGACGCAUUUCGGUGUGUAACUCCUUUUACGAGUCAAGAAAUGACGGUAGCUCGUGAAUAAGCACCGGGCUAACUCCGUGCCAGCCCG
rnacentral:rRNA from 1 species